CGUGUCUUCGCCUCGCCAGUCAAGCAGGAUGAUCACAGAUGGCCGCGGUUUUCUGAAUGAAGACGGAGAGGAGAGGCGGUCGUUUCGGCUGGAAGUUCUGGGCCAGUCCUGGGGUCAUGGAUUCGCUGUGUAGGAGGAUCCAGUGUCUGGGUUUUGCAGUGGCCGCGGUUAAUGAUGUGUUAUAUAUUUCCGGGCCGCUUUUCGAGACCUUGCAGACCGACAGAGCAUACUGCAACCCACACACCAUGCGUGCGCGAUGAGAUCGAGGGAGGUAUGGAGAUGGAGUGUGAAUUCCUGUUUCAGCACCACGGACAGCUCUAC